rnacentral:rRNA from 1 species
UGGGGGAUAUUGCACAAUGGGCGAAAGCCUGAUGCAGCGACGCCGCGUGGGGGAUGAAGGCCUUCGGGUUGUAAACUUCUUUUGCUCUGAACAAGGCAUGCCUUUGGGGUGUGUUGAGUGUAGGGGUUGAUUAGCGCCGGCUAACUACGUGCCAGCAGCCGCGGUAAUACGUAGGGCGCGAGCGUUGUCCGGAAUUAUUGGGCGUAAAGGGCUUGUAGGUGGCUGGUUGCGUCUGUCGUGAAAGCUCAUGGCUUAACUGUGGGUUUGCGGUGGGUACGGGCUGGCUUGAGUGCAGUAGGGGAGGCUGGAAUUCCUGGUGUAGCGGUGGAAUGCGCAGAUAUCAGGAGGAAUACCGGUGGCGAAGGAGGGUCUCUGGGCUGUUACUGACGCUGAGGAGCGAAAGCGUGGGGAGCGAACAGG